rnacentral:rRNA from 1 species
AACGGGUGGAGCCUGCGGUUUAAUUGGACUCAACGCCCGGGCAGCUCACCGGAUAAGACAGCUGGAUGAUAGCCGGGCUGAAGACUCUGCUUGACUAGCUGAGAGGAGGUGCAUGGCCGUCGUCAGUUCGUACUGUGAAGCAUCCUGUUAAGUCAGGCAACGAGCGAGACCCACGCCAACAGUUGCCAGCAUGUCCUCCGGGAUGAUGGGGACACUGUUGGGACCGCCUCUGCUAAAGAGGAGGAAGGAAUGGGCAACGGUAGGUCAGCAUGCCCCGAAUUAUCCGGGCUACACGCGGGCUACAAUGGUCAGGACAAUGGGUAUCGACACCGAGAGGUGGAGGCAAUCUCCUAAACCUGUCCUUAGUUCGGAUUGUGGGCUGCAACUCGCCCACAUGAAGCCGGAAUCGCUAGUAAUCGUGGAUCAGCAUGUCACGGUGAAUACGUUCCCGGGUCUU